rnacentral:rRNA from 1 species
UACGAAGGGGGCUAGCGUUGUUCGGAAUUACUGGGCGUAAAGCGCACGUAGGCGGAUAUUUAAGUCAGGGGUGAAAUCCCAGAGCUCAACUCUGGAACUGCCUUUGAUACUGGGUAUCUUGAGUAUGGAAGAGGUAAGUGGAAUUGCGAGUGUAGAGGUGAAAUUCGUAGAUAUUCGGAAGAACACCAGUGGCGAAGGCGGACUACUGGA